rnacentral:rRNA from 1 species
CGAGGAUGAGCCCGCGUCCCAUUAGCUAGUUGGUGAGGUAAAGGCCCACCAAGGCGAUGAUGGGUAGGCGGCCUGAGAGGGUGUACGCCCACACUGGGACUGAGAUACGGCCCAGACUCCUACGGGAGGCAGCAGCUAAGAAUAUUCCGCAAUGGACGAAAGUCUGGACGGAGCGACGCCGCGUGGAUGAAGAAGGCCGAAAGGUUGUAAAGUCCUUUUGUUGGGGAAGAAUAAGCGCGGGAGGGAAUGCCCGCGUGAUGACAUGAACCGACGAAUAAGCCCCGGCUAACUACGUGCCAGCAGCCGCGGUAACACGUAGGGGGCGAGCGUUGUUCGGAAUUACUGGGCGUAAAGGGCAUGUAGGCGGCCUUGUAAGCCUGGCGUGAAAGUCACCGGCUUAACCGGUGGAUUGCGUCGGGAACUGCAGGGCUUGAGUCACGGAGAGGGAGCUAGAAUUCCUGGUGUAGGGGUGAAAUCUGUAGAGAUCAGGAAGAAUACCAAUGGCG